AAAACUUUCAACAACGGAUCUCUUGGCUCUGGCAUCGAUGAAGAACGCAGCGAAAUGCGAUAAGUAAUGUGAAUUGCAGAAUUCAGUGAAUCAUCGAAUCUUUGAACGCACAUUGCGCCCCUCGGUAUUCCGGGGGGCAUGCCUGUUCGAGCGUCAUUG
rnacentral:rRNA from 1 species